rnacentral:lncRNA from 1 species
GGGGUUCAGGAGAUUUGGGUCUCAAGGGGCUAAUUUAUAUUUAGACUAAGAUUGAGUCUAAAAUUAUGAGAUUGAGUCAAUUCAUGGGUGUAUAUGGGUUUCGGUGAGCGCAAUCCCAUUGGGUUAGCCAUGGGAGUUUUUGGAUUGGAUCACAUUGACCCUGUAUAUAUAUACAUUAUAUUAUGUUUUUGAUUGAACCAAGCUAAAU